rnacentral:rRNA from 1 species
UACGGAGGGUGCGAGCGUUGUUCGGAAUCACUGGGCGUAAAGGGCGUGUAGGCGGUCCGCUAAGUCUGAUGUGAAAGCCCGGGGCUCACCCCCGGAAGGGCAUUGGAAACUGACGGACUCGAGUCCCGAAGAGGAGGGUGGAAUUCCUGGUGUAGCGGUGAAAUGCGCAGAUAUCAGGAGGAACACCGGUGGCGAAGGCGGAUCUCUGGGCCGAUACUGACGCUGAGGAGCGAAAGCGUGGGGAGCGAACAGG